ACAGUAAGGCUAAUAUUUGGUCUUCAGAGUUACCUAUGACCUUGAGCUUCUUUAUAUUAAUGUGCUGGGAAGAGGCUGAGAAAAUUCCCAUCAUGCACAGCUGUACCUGGAUGGACUAACACAAGAAACUACAGUAACUAUACAGUUAUAAUUUUUAUUAAAGAAAUCAGAAGUAUAUAUAUUCAAUUCUUCAGAAGCAUUUUGUUUCUGAUUUCCAAGUCUGACUGCAAUUACAAGUUAAUAAAAACAUGUUUUAAUAUGCUGGCUGAAAAUUGAUACUAUUUCCAAUCUGUGCCAUGAAACAAAUAAUAUGUGGGGAGAAAUUGAGCUCUCUCAUUUUAGAAAUGGAAAAUAGAUUUUUAAAAGUUCAGAUCAUUACCAAGGGUAAUGUUUUUAUAAUAAGUUUAACACUGACUUGCUCACUGCAAAACUUUGUCAGGGAGAAUUGUUAUUUGUGAAACAAAAUAAAGAUGUGAUGUAUUCUAAGAACUGUCUAUUUUAAAAGCCGUUGUGUGUGUAGGUCCCGCAGUCUGCUCCUGCCGGGGACCAGAGCGAAGCCUGCAGGACUGCUGGCACACCAGCCUAGGGGCUUGUUUUGGAGAGGAUGGAAGGACAGGGGUCAGUCCGGCUGGGGAAGCUGCUUACCCUCCCAGGAGGCCGACGUCACUGGAAUGCCGUGGCUAGCGGAGGACGUGUGCUCUGUCCCUGAUUCCAGGCAGGCGCUGAGACAUCAAAGCAGCUGAGUGGCAGCUCUGACAUUCAGACAGAUACAUUCCGAAAGGCUUCUGUUGUUUGCUCUCUGUGAUCAAGAGAAUGAAGACGAAAGCUGCCAAUUACGAAUUAAGCGCUGACUCCUUUACCUGUACCUGUUGCCCCUGAGAAGAUGUGUUGAUGAGCCACUUUGGACCUGGUCCCAGGGUGAGCUGGCUUGGGACGGGAGAUGGAUGACCUGUGCCCAUGUGAAUGAAUCCGGGCCACAAGGCAUCGCCUGGAGAGUGCCUCCUCUGACCACUCCCUGGGGUUUGAGGUGCUCACAGCUGGUUUGUUUAGUGAACUAUUGAGGUGACGGCUCUAGCCUUAGGGUCAGACUGCCCUCUUGCUAUGGUUCCUCCCUUGGGGUAAGCACAGCUCCGUGACUUGGCCUGCCGGGCCCUCCAUGCCUCAGCCCUGCCUCCUCCGCAGCCUCUUUGCUCUUCCCUAGUGCUCCAGGCUCCAGCUGGAGCCUCUCAGCCUCUUGAUGGCCCUGGCUGCCCCCUGCUGCUGAGCAUCCACAUGGGCCCCUCCCUCUGAGGACAGCACUCUUCCAGCCCAGCUGUGUCUGGUCACAAUUGCAUCUCCUUCAGAGCACCCUCCCUCACCCCCAGACUGGGCACAGCCAGAUUACAGGCCCCCCACGACUACUGCAUUUACUGCACAUUUCUCUGAGGUGUGCUCCAUUUUCCACGUCCAAGAGGGCUGGCUGUCUUGUUCUCCAACGUAUUCCAAGAGUGUGGAGGGUGUUGGGAGCAGAGGAAAUGCUCAGUAAAUAUGUGCUGAAUGAAUGGAUGAAUGAACUGGUUUAGUAAACUUACACCACUGAGCCUCAAUAAUGCCUGACUCACAUGGUUAAAUGAGGUAACGUAAGGCAAUGAAUCUUAGCAUUUUUGGAUCACUGACCCCUUUGGAAAAUCUAAUAAAUGUCGUGGACUCCCUCCUCAGAAAAAUGCACAAAUGCAGAGUAGCAAUUAUGCAUGCUCCUUGGAAGUUAUCUGACUAUCCUCUUACAGUCUCUGCAUAGAUUUUACUCUUUCCCUGUGCUGUUCCAGACUUUUUCUGUGUAUCCUUUUAAGAUAAUGGUAGCAGAUAGACAGAAAGCCUUGCUGUCUCAUUGGCUUAUCACAAUCCACAUUUAUUUCCGCCUCAUAGAGUGGCAUACAGUGGCAGAGCAGGCUUGGGGCAGCCUACUCCAUGUAGUCAUUCAGGGACCCAUUGUCAAAAUGUGGCUUCCAAAGUCAACUGGGUGUUGACAUCAGCUGGCCACAGGGAGACAGAGGAGGAGGAUGGAGAGCUGUUUGUGGCCAUGCUGGAAGUGGCUCACAUCAUGAAGGCUGGGUACUGUUACUGGUUUGGUGUUCUCAGGUCUUUAACUGCUGUAAAUGGAGUCUCAGACAUAGGACUUUUUUCCCACAAAAUUUCAUGGUGUUCAUUUUGACAAGAGAUUUUCACAUAUUGAGGUAUAUGGGGUAACUAUUUGGGUUCAAAACCAAUUUGGCUUGAACUGAAAAGCCUGACUUAUGGCCUAUCAAACAUACAUUGUACAUCUGCUUAACCAUUAAAGACUGUGCUCUCUUGAGGCUGGCCCCGUGGCUUAGUGGUUAAGUGCUCGCGCUCCGCUACUGACGGCCCGGUUCAGAUCCCGGGCGUGCACCGACGCACUGCUUCUCUGGCCAUGCUGAGGCCGUGUCCCACAUACAGCAACUAGAAGGAUGUGCAACUAUGACAUACAACUAUCUACUGGGGCUUUUGGAGGGGGGGGAAAGACUGUGCUCUCUUAAGAUAAGAAUGCAUACUUCCCCUUCUACACCCUGUUGGUAAUGCCCUAUAGGCAAAGCCCAGAUUAGUCCCUUUCCUGACAUCAUGGUCACAUUGACCUGCUAAUUUGCAAUUGAAUACCUCUUUGAAACUUUGAUAAAAAGGUAUCCUGGGUGUGUUUAAUGUAUGUUCUUUGUUCUAAAAAGAUAUAAGACUGUACUGAAAACCAUGCUUCUCCGGAAUGCUUUCUAAGGCCUUCCCAGUUUAUAACCCUCACUCUGGCUCAAGUAACCUCACCUAUUUCUCUUAUCUAUAGAAUGGUCAUUGGUUAUUUUGUGAUGACAUUUCUUGGCAUAGUCGUGGCAGGAUUUCAGAGAAACCCACUGGAGACCACCUGGAAUCCACACUGAACCAGCAUUCAGGCCCAUUGAGCCCCCCGGUGCACUGCAUUCUUCAGGUGGCCCUGGCUCAAGAAAUUGCCACAGAAGAAGAGAAACAGACAUGGCCGUCAAAGGGGGGAAUUUUGGACACCUCUCACAGGUGUGGUUUGGGCCCAAUAAGAAACCCAUAGUACCUACUGGAGCACAAUUGCCACUGCUCCAGGAUAUAUACCAAUUAACCCAUUGGGCACCUGAAAAGGUAAUUUUAUGGGGAAAGCAAUACUUUUGAAAACUUUCUCCCACAGCGGCCCAUACAGCCUAUACUCAUUGUGUUAUAUGCCCAAAAUAUAAUCUAUGGAAACUAUUUUAUGAAUCACAAGGCCACUUUCCCCUUCCUAAGGUACCCUUUGAGGUUUGGCAAUUGGACUUUGUCCAAAUGCCACAAUCUUAGGGAUAUAAAUAUAUCUUAUAAUGAUCUAUGUGUUCUUACAUUGGGUUGAGGCCUUUCCUUGCAGAAGAGCGAUGGCUUUAGACAAAUUAUUAUUGGAGAGAAUAAUUCUUGUUUGUGGAAUUCCUACCGAGUUACAUAGUGACUGGGGAACUCAUUUCACUGGACAAAUAAUUAAAUCUAUUCGUAAUAUUUGGCCAAUAAUGCAGAAUUUCCACUGUGCUUACCAUCCCCAAUCCUCAGGAUUGUUGGAAAGAACUAAAUGGCACCGUCAAAACUCAAUUGGCAAAGCUUUCAGAAGCACUUAAUCUCUCAUGGCCAGAAGCUCUUCCACUAGUGCUCCUCAAUCUUAGAUCUACGCCCUUUGGUAAACAUCAGCUGUCCCCUUUCAAGAUAAUAACUGGACUUAGACGAAGAAAUGUAUGAACCAAUUUUGCUUAAAGGAAAUAUCUUAAUUAUUGUCAAGGUCUCAUUGAGACACUUAAAAAAAAGAAAAAAUGAUGAGAGGUUGGUAGCCUAUUAUUUUCACAGAGAGCUCCCAGACCUUAAGGAUCAUGGACUAUAACCUGGAGAAUUUGUUAUCAGAAGAAGCAUCAAGUAAAAGACUCUUUGCAGCCCCAUUGGAAAGGAGCAUACCAGGUACUAUUAACCAAUUCACGUGCUACAGAAUCAAAAGAUACAGACUCAUGGAUUCACAUUUCUCAUUUUAAAAGAGGUUUCUCACCUGAGUGGGUUUCAGUUCCUAUUUCUGAUAUCUGACUUCAACUGACCAAUGAAAAUCUCUCCAAACCAGGAUGAGAAGAAGACAGCAUCCGUUGUAGACAGCUGUCCCAAGACUCCAGACCAGGCCCAGGCCUGUAUUCCCAACCUUAAAUCUCCUCAUUUAAACCUUUGUGAUGCUUAAACUGUAUACCUAUUUUAUAAUUGUUCCAUUUAAGUUUUUCAGAAUACUAUCAUACUUAAAGAAAGUGAUUGAUUUGGAACAGCCUGGUCGAAGGCCAGGUGUUUAUUGGGUGGCUCCUCUUGGAACUCAAUGGUUACAUGUAACAAAUCUCUGGCCUUGGCUACUGCCUGGAUAGCUAAAACACUGCACCCUGAGCUUCCCUUGGAUGCAGGAAAGGAUUCACUGAGCUAACGUGUUGCCAACCUCUCUCUUUAAGGCCAGAUGGGCUCAUUCAGUGUUCCACUGGUAAGACCACUGAGCAGCUAGCUAUAUGUGUUCCUUCUUUGGGGCUAGAAGAUGUCAUAUCACAUACAGAAGCCCUUAAAAGUUGUCAAGCAGGAAUAGCCUUUUUAAAUACUAAGAUGUCUUUAAUGAGGAAGGCUGUCCUUCAAAAUAGAAUGGACUUAGAUAUUCUUACAGCAUCCCAGGGUGGUACAUAUAUAUCAUUGAAACUGAAUGCUGUAUUUUUAUACCUGAUGAGUCUUCCAGUGCAUCAUCUCUGAAUGCCUUGAACGGUCCUAUACCUGGUCUUGAUUUGUUUAGUUGGCUCCCUUCUGGUAUUGGCUUCCAUUGGCGACCCAAUUGUAAUUCCUAUUUCUAUUACUCCUUGGAAUUCUUUUUUUUUUUUUAAUUUUUUGUUUAUUGCAGUAACAUUGGUUUAUAACAUUGUAAAAAUUUCAGGUGUACAUCAUUGUACUUCUAUUUCUGCAUAGAUUACAUCAUGUUCUGGAAUUCUUGUAUUAGUCAUAAUAUUCAAACUAAUUACUGAUUGCUCAGUGACCUUAGACGGUUGACCAAUCUUAACAACCCUGGACGAAUCUCCUUUUCUUAUUAAGGCUAUGCCUAAGACUUCAUUUUUAAGCUAAUCAUUUCAAGUAUUGUAUUACCUGUUGUAUAAUUGUCAUAAACAAUGUAACUAUAGGAGGUCAUGUAAAAGCACAUGUGCAAUAAUCUAAAAAUAAUUAACACAUUAAAUAACCUAUGAAACACUUCCCCUGUUAAUAUAUACCUCUAUGCUUGUCCACUGUAUCUGACUAUUUCCCCCCAAAUUGGAUAACUGGGCAAAUCAAUGAAAUAAAAUCCUAGGACUGAGGGACAUGGGGGACCCAGGGCAGGCAGUAACCACCCUGGCACCGAGGGACAAUAUUUUUUUUUUAUCAGCAAUGCUUUCUAUUCAAAGAUUAUUGAUCAAAAGGGGAAAAUGACAGCAAAUUCUCACAUAUUAAGGUAUAUGGGGUAAUUUUUGGAGUUCAAAACUGAUUCGGCUUGAACUAAAAAGCCUGACUUAUGGCCUAUCAAACAUACAUUGUACAUCUGCUUAACCAUUAAAGAAUAUACUCUCUUAAGAUAAGAAUGCACACUUCCCCUCCUAUGCACUAUUGACAACACCCUAUUGGUAAUGCCCAGAUUAGUCCCUUUCCUGACAUCAUGGUCACAUUGACCUGCUAAUUUCCAAUUGAAUAUCCUUUGAAAUUUUGAUGAAAAUGUAUCCUGGGUGUGUUUAAUGCAUGUUCUUUGUUCUAAUGAGAUAUAAGACUACUUGAAACCAUGCUUCUAAGGCCUUCCCAGGUUAUAGUCCUCACUCUGGCUCAAGUAAACUCACCUUAUUUCUCUUAUCUAUAGAAUGGUUAUUGGCUAUUUUGCAUCAACAUGAAUAAUGCUGCUAUGACCAUUUAUGUACAAGUUUUUGUGUGGACAUAUUUUCAUUUCUCUUGAAUAUAUGCCUAGGAGUAGAAUUGCUGGGUCAUAUGUUUCUUGCUGCUCUAUGUUUAAUUGUUUGAGGAAUUUGCACAGUUUUCCAAGGCAGCUGUAUCAUUUUACAUUCCCACCACCAAGGUAUGUGGGUUCAAAUUUCUUCACAUCUUUAUCAACACUUGUUAUAAUCUGAUUGUUUUAUUCUAGCCACCCUAGUGGGUGUGAAGUGGUAUCUUAUCAUGGUCUUGAUUUGCAUUUACUUGAUGACUAAUGAUGUCAAGCAUCUUUUCAUGUGCUUAUUGGCCAUUUGUAUAUCUUCCUUUCAAUAAUGCCCUGGGGCAUAAAUUACUCUUCAAACGAAUCCAAUCAAAUUGUGGCUCCUUUUAAGGAGUAGUCUCUGAGAUCUGUGUUUGAUAUCUAUUCUGUCCCAGAAGGGCUCCUCUUAGCUGACUUAUUCCCUAGUUCUCUCCUGCAAACUAGCCAGCCUACAGUCUGGGCUGUAUCUGUAUUAAAUUCAUGAAUCUCUUCCCAAUUUCCCUUCACCACAACAUCCACCAUUCUUGAGAGCACCUUUAAGCUUGAACUUCUCCAGCUCUGUUGCAAAUGAGGUCAGUUCCUUCAGGAACAAAUGAAGAGUUAUAUGUUUAA